rnacentral:rRNA from 1 species
UGGGGAAUAUUGGACAAUGGGCGAAAGCCUGAUCCAGCCAUGCCGCGUGUGUGAAGAAGGUCUUCGGAUUGUAAAGCACUUUAAGUUGGGAGGAAGGGCAUUAACCUAAUACGUUAGUGUUUUGACGUUACUGACAGAAUAAGCACCGGCUAACUCUGUGCCAGCAGCCGCGGUAAUACAGAGGGUGCAAGCGUUAAUCGGAAUUACUGGGCGUAAAGCGCGCGUAGGUGGUUUGUUAAGUUGGAUGUGAAAGCCCCGGGCUCAACCUGGGAACUGCAUCCAAAACUGGCAAGCUAGAGUACGGUAGAGGGUGGUGGAAUUUCCUGUGUAGCGGUGAAAUGCGUAGAUAUAGGAAGGAACACCAGUGGCGAAGGCGACCACCUGGACUGAUACUGACACUGAGGUGCGAAAGCGUGGGGAGCAAACA